AUGGCUGUCCUGGUGCUGCUCCUCUGCCUGGUGACCUUUCCAAGCUGUGCCCUGUCCCAGGUGCAGCUGAAGGAGUCAGGACCUGGCCUGGUGCAGCCCUCACAGACCCUGUCUCUCACCUGCACUGUCUCUGGGUUCUCAUUAACCAGCUAUGAUCUAAGCUGGGUCCGCCAGCCUCCAGGAAAGGGUCUGGAGUGGAUGGGAGGAAUAUGGUAUAGUGGAAACACAGAGUAUGAUUCAGCUUUCAAAUCCCGAAUCACCAUCAGCAGGGACACCUCCAAGGGCCAACUUUUCUUAAAACUGAACAAUCUGCAAACUGAGGACACAGCCAUGUAUUACUGUGCCAGAGACACAUUAAUAGAGCAUUAUGCAGUCUGUUUCUGGGGGGUUUUGUUACCCCUUUCUGUUUAUUUAGCAUAUCCUUUAGAGUUCUGUUUGAUCUUUCUAUAACUGCUUGACCUGUAGGAUUAUGUGGUAUGCCUGUAAUAUGCUUUAUAUUGUAA